GACGAACGCUGGCGGCGUGCUUAACACAUGCAAGUCGAACGCUGAAGCUCAGCUUGCUGGGUGGAUGAGUGGCGAACGGGUGAGUAACACGUGAGUAACCUGCCCUCUUCUUUGGGAUAACGCCCGUAAACGGGUGCUAAUACUGGAUAUUCACUGAUUCUCGCAUGGGGGUUGGUGGAAAGGUUUUUUCUGGUGGGGGAUGGGCUCGCGGCCUAUCAGCUUGUUGGUGGGGUGAUGGCCUACCAAGGCUUUGACGGGUAGCCGGCCUGGGAGGGUGACCGGUCACAUUGGGACUGGGAUACGGCCCAGACUGCUACGGGAGGCAGCAGUGGGGAAUAGUGCACAAUGGGCGAAAGCCUGAUGCAGCGGCGCCGCGUGAGGGAUGGAGGCCUUCGGGUUGUAAACCUCUUUCGCUCAUGGUCAAGCCGCAGCUUUGGGUUGUGGUGAGGGUAGUGGGUAAAGAAGCGCCGGCUAACUACGUG
rnacentral:rRNA from 1 species